GAACGCUGGCGGCAUGCUUUACACAUGCAAGUCGAACGGUAACAGGCCUUCGGGUGCUGACGAGUGGCGAACGGGUGAGUAAUGCAUCGGAACGUACCCAGAGGUGGGGGAUAACGCAGCGAAAGCUGUGCUAAUACCGCAUGUGAUCUGAGGAUGAAAGCGGGGGACCGAGCAGCAAUGUUUGGCCUCGCGCCUUUGGAGCGGCCGAUGUCGGAUUAGCUAGUUGGUGGGGUAAAGGCCUACCAAGGCGACGAUCCGUAGCUGGUCUGAGAGGACGACCAGCCACACUGGGACUGAGACACGGCCCAGACUCCUACGGGAGGCAGCAGUGGGGAAUUUUGGACAAUGGGCGCAAGCCUGAUCCAGCAAUGCCGCGUGCGGGAAGAAGGCCUUCGGGUUGUAAACCGCUUUUGGCAGGAACGAAACGGUGUCCGCUAAUACCGGGCGCUAAUGACGGUACCUGCAGAAUAAGCACCGGCUAACUACGUG
rnacentral:rRNA from 1 species